AUUGAACGCUGGCGGCGUGCCUAACACAUGCAAGUCGAGCGGUAACAGGUGUAGCAAUACAUGCUGACGAGCGGCGAACGGGUGAGUAAUGCUUCGGCAUCUGCCCAGUAGUGGGGAAUAACUAGCCGAAAGGUUAGCUAAUACCGCAUACGACCUAUGGGUGAACGCGGGGGAUCGCAAGACCUCGCGCUAUUGGAUGAGCCGAAGUCGGAUUAGCUAGUUGGUAGGGUAACGGCCUACCAAGGCGACAAUCCGUAGCUGGUCUGAGAGGACGACCAGCCACACUGGGACUGAGACACGGCCCAGACUCCUACGGGAGGCAGCAGUGGGGAAUAUUGGACAAUGGGCGAAAGCCUGAUCCAGCGACGCCGCGUGUGUGAGGAAGGCCUGCGGGUUGUAAAGCACUUUUAGUGGGGAGGAAAUGCGCAGAUCUAAUACAUCUGUGAGCUGACUUAACCCAAAGAAAAAGCACCGGCUAACUCUGUGCCAGCCGCCGCUGUAAUAC
rnacentral:rRNA from 1 species